rnacentral:tRNA from 1 species
UCCUCGAUAGCUCAGCCUGGUAGAGCAGUUGCCUGUUAAGCAAUUUGUCGUUGGUUCAAAUCCGACUCGGGGAG